UGGAAAGAGGAAGACCGCCAGAAAACAGAUCAACCACAUCCUUCAAAAGGACUAUGCCUGUUUAUAAGCCCAGCUGUUUCUGCCCUGUGAAACACGGAAAAUGUUUCAACGUGCGCAAGAGUUGCGGCGGCGAGCAGAGGACUACCACAAAUGCAAAAUCCCCCCUUCUGCAAGAAAGGCUCUUUGCAACUGGGUCAGAAUGGCGGCAGCGGAGCAUCGUCAUUCUUCAGGAUUGCCCUACUGGCCCUACCUCACAGCUGAAACUUUAAAAAACAGGAUGGGCCACCAGCCACCUCCUCCAACUCAACAACAUUCUAUAACUGAUAACUCCCUGAGCCUCAAGACACCUCCCGAGUGUCUGCUCACUCCCCUUCCACCCUCAGCGGAUGAUAAUCUCAAGACACCUCCCGAGUGUGUGCUCACUCCCCUUCCACCCUCAGCGGAUGAUAAUCUCAAGACACCUC
rnacentral:lncRNA from 1 species